rnacentral:rRNA from 1 species
GACGAACGCUGGCGGCGUGCUUAACACAUGCAAGUCGAGCGGUAAGGCCCCUUCGGGGGUACACGAGCGGCGAACGGGUGAGUAACACGUGGGUGACCUGCCCUCAGCUCUGGGAUAAGCCUGGGAAACCGGGUCUAAUACUGGAUAUGACUCCAUGACGCAUGUUGUGGGGUGGAAAGCCUUGUGCGGCUGAGGAUGGGCCCGCGGCCUAUCAGCUUGUUGGUGGGGUGAUGGCCUACCAAGGCGACGACGGGUAGCCGGCCUGAGAGGGCGACCGGCCACACUGGGACUGAGACACGGCCCAGACUCCUACGGGAGGCAGCAGUGGGGAAUCUUGCGCAAUGGGCGAAAGCCUGACGCAGCGACGCCGCGUGAGGGAUGACGGCCUCGG